rnacentral:rRNA from 1 species
AUUGAACGCUGGCGGCAGGCCUAACACAUGCAAGUCGAGCGAGUGGCGGACGGGUGAGUAAUGUCUGGGGAUCUGCCUGAUGGAGGGGGAUAACUACUGGAAACGGUAGCUAAUACCGCAUACCAUCGGAUGUGCCCAGAUGGGAUUAGCUAGUAGGUGGGGUAAAGGCUCACCUAGGCGACGAUCGCUAGCUGGUCUGAGAGGAUGACCAGGCAAACUGGAACUGAGACACGGUCCAGACUCCUACGGGAGGUAGCAGUGGGGAAUAUUGCACAAUGGGCGCAAGCCUGAUACAGCCAUGCCGCGUGUAUGAAGAUGGCCUUCGGGUUGUAAAGUACUUUCAGCGGGGAGGCGUUACCCGCAGAAGAAGCACCGGCUAACUCCGUGCCAGCAGCCGCGGUAAUUC